GUUCUCAUGAUAGUGAAUGAGUCUCAUGAGAUCUGAUGGUUUUAAAAAGAGGAGAUUCCCUGCACAAGCUCUCUUUUUGCCUGCCACCAUCCAUGUAAGAUGUGACUUGCUCCUCCUUGCCUUCUGCCAUGAUUGUGAGGCCUCCCCAGCCACUUGGAACUGAAGCAAACACUGCUAUUGCCACCUUUUUGCAGAGGAAGGUACUGAGGUGAAGCGACUUGCCCAAACCCUACAAAAAGCACUGUGCCAGGUGCUGGAUUUAUAACCACAAAAACAGAGGGGCAGAAUGUCUGCAUUUCCAGUGGGCAAGACAGACAAUGUGCCUAUCUGUGCAUUUCCUUGUAAAAUCCAGCUUUCGCAAGAGCAUGAACAAAUCAGUUUGGCAAGACCUCCCCACCCUCAACAUCUGAUCACGUGUCUCAUCCUCCAUGAUGCCACAGCUCAGAACUCUGCAGAGCCACCACCAGCAAGAAGGUCCUCACCAGAUGCAGCCCCUUGACCUUAGACUUCUCACCUUCAAGAACUGUAAGUGGUCUUCAGGGCUGUCUCCAUGAAGUCAUCACCAGCCUUCCCAGGCCAGGACUCUCCAUGCCAUCCUUAGCAAGGAGAAGAAAACAAAUACCCGGCAUCCAUUUCCAGGUCCUGCAUGAUGUGAUGGUGAGUCUCGCAAACAUUAGCCAUCCUAAUCACAUGCCUUUGCUCCCUCCACUCCACUCACACAAGUAUUUGGUAAUUACAUCCUUCCUCUCCCUAGGGGCAUUUGCAUAUGUUGAUUACUCUGCCUGAACCUGCUUUUCCCUCCCAUCUGCACCUAAUUAAUGCUUACUCAGCCAAGCAUUACUUCCCCAGAAUCCUGGCCAAGUCUAAUGCCCAUUAUGUGAGUUGUUGGGGCACCCUGUCUCUCUCCUCUAUAGACCUUCUCCUUUUGUAAGUUUGUAUCUGUUUCCCUAAUGAUUUGACUAAAUGUCUGUCUGGCCCAUUAGGGUGAAAACUUAGACUCUGUUAUGGGUUGCAUUGUGUCCCCACAAACAAGAUAAUGUUGAAGUCCUAAUCCCAAAUGCCUGUACAUAUGUCCUUAUUUGGUACUUGGGUCUUCGCAGAUUUCAGCAAGUUAUGAUGAGGUCAUUAGGGUCAGCUGAGUUCAUAUGACUGAUGUCCUUAUAAGAGGAGGGAAAUCUGGACACAAACAUUGACCCACAGGGAGAGGGGAGAACACUUGUGAAGACACCAAGACACACAGACAGAGGGAAGAUGGCCAUGUGCAGAUGGAGGCAGGGACUGGACUUAUGCUGCCACAAGACAAGAAACACCUGGGGCUGCCAGAUGCCGGAAAAGGCAGGGAAGAGUCCUCCUCCAGAGUCUUCAGAGAGAACAUGACUCUGCAAGCACCUUGAUUUCAGACCUCUAGCCUCCAGACCUGUGAGAAUAAAUGUCUAUUGGUGUUAGGCACCCAGUUUGUAAUACUUUGUUACAGCGGCCCUAGGAAACUAAUACACACCAUAACCCAUAUGAGGGCAAGAACCUUAUGUAUUUUUACUCAGCAUUGACUUCCUAACUUCUAUCUCAGAAGAAGUGCCUGGUUAUGUAAUCAUUCCCUGUAACAAUAAUCUUUAAAUAAGGAAGGUGAUUUUCACAAUUACCUAGGGAACUUUUACCAGGUGGGCAAGAGCCCACCAUGAAGUCUACCCCAAGAAGAUUCACCCACAUAUCUAUAAAACAUUUAAUAAAAGAAAGAAAUCUUCCUUCUUAUACCAGAUUUCCGUAGCAAGUAUUACCUGAGUCAUUAGGGCAGCACGCCCUUCUUUCCCUGAAUUAUCUGGGUAAUUGCACAACUGCUUCACUUCGGUUGCAUAGAUAGUUAACUGCGCACAUUUGGUGUGGUAAUUGGGUAGUGGCCAAGGAACACAAAAUACAUGGCUUCAAAGCAGGUGCUUACAAAAAGGACUCCACUUAAACUGAAAUUCAGCCCAAAGAGUUGAUUAGAAACAACUCAAAAGGGUCAGUUAGUGAGUCUGAGCACUGGGGGAAAGGGGCAAAUAAUACUGUCUUUUUCUUUAAACCUAGUCAGAAGAGAAGACAGGAAUAUAUGAAACAGGAGCAAUCACAAGAACGUAACAGAGGACACAGGUGUCAUGUUCAUGGCACAGAACAGAAGCCCCAUAGAGUUCAAAAGACGGGAUGACUGGAGAUAUCCUUGACACAUUGAGCUAAAAAAAAAAACUAAAAACAAGGCCAGGCACAGUGGCUCACACCUGUAAUCCCAGUACUUUGGGAGGCCAAGGUGGGUGGAUCGCCUGCGGUCAGGAGUUCGAGACCAGCCUAGCCAACAUGGCGAAAUCCCAUCUCUACUAAAAUACAAAAAUUAGCUGGGGGUGGUGGCAAGUGCCUGUAAUCCCACCUACUCGGGAGGCUGAGGCAGGAGAAUUGCUUGAACCUGGGAGGUGGAGCUUGCAGUGAGCCGAGAUCACGCCACUACACUUGAGCCUUGAGCCUGGGCGACAGAGCAAGACUCUAUCUCAAAAAUAAAUAAAUAAAUAAAUAAAUAAAUAAACAAAAAAGCA
rnacentral:lncRNA from 1 species